AUCUAAAGUGUGCGAUCUUACACUGAGUUGGAUGAUAGUGAAGUGAUAGUGUAUAACGUAAUGAAAUUAUAGCUCGGCCACGUGUACAGCAUCUGCUCACCGAGAUAAAACUUUUCUGCGUGUUCGUGAGUUCAGGAUUAAAAAUGAUGGUAACGAGUGUCACAUUUUCCCGGCUCAAAGAGACGAAUAUUUUUCGAGAGACGAACAUUCUACAAAUGCGAAACAUAUAAAAUAUCGUAACAAGUAUCAUCUCGC
rnacentral:misc_RNA from 1 species